rnacentral:rRNA from 1 species
UACGUAGGGCGCAAGCGUUGUCCGGAAUUAUUGGGCGUAAAGAGCUCGUAGGCGGUUUGUCGCGUCUGCUGUGAAAACCUGAGGCUCAACCUCGGGCUUGCAGUGGGUACGGGCAGACUAGAGUGCGGUAGGGGUGACUGGAAUUCCUGGUGUAGCGGUGAAAUGCGCAGAUAUCAGGGAGGAACACCGGUGGCGAAGGCGGGGUCUCUGGGCCGUAACUGACGCUGAGGAGCGAAAGCGUGGGGAGCGAACAGG